rnacentral:rRNA from 1 species
GAUGAACGCUGGCGGCGUGCCUAAUGCAUGCAAGUCGAGCGAACAGACGAGGAGCUUGCUCCUCUGACGUUAGCGGCGGACGGGUGAGUAACACGUGGAUAACCUACCUAUAAGACUGGGAUAACUUCGGGAAACCGGAGCUAAUACCGGAUAAUAUGUUGAAUCGCAUGGUUCAACAGUGAAAGACGGUCUUGCUGUCACUUAUAGAUGGAUCCGCGCCGCAUUAGCUAGUUGGUAAGGUAACGGCUUACCAAGGCAACGAUGCGUAGCCGACCUGAGAGGGUGAUCGGCCACACUGGAACUGAGACACGGUCCAGACUCCUACGGGAGGCAGCAGUAGGGAAUCUUCCGCAAUGGGCGAAAGCCUGACGGAGCAACGCCGCGUGAGUGAAGAAGGUCUUCGGAUCGUAAAACUCUGUUAUUAGGGAAGAACAAAUGUGUAAGUAACUAUGCACGUCUUGACGGUACCUAAUCAGAAAGCCACGGCUAACUACGUG